GAAACUUGUCCACUCCUUACGGGGGAGACAGUCAUGAGACGUGAGUAUAAGACCUGAGUGUAAAGACCUUAGGGUGAAGCAAUUGGAGGGCAAGCUUUGGUGCCAGCAGCCGCGGUAACUCCAACUCCAAGAGUGUCUAUGGUGGAUGCUGCAGUUAAAGGGUCCGUAGUCGUGAAUGCAAUUAAAUGUCGUUGUUCAAUAGCGAUGAGUUUGCUAAUGUUUGCGGAACGGAUAGGGAGUGUAGUAUAGACUGGCGAAGAAUGAAAUCUCAAGACCCAGUUUGGACUAACGGAGGCGAAGGCGACACUCUUAGACGUAUCUUAGGAUCAAGGACGAAGGCAGGAGUAUCGAAAGUGAUUAGACACCGCUGUAGUUCCUGCAGUAAACUAUGCCGACAGCCUGUGUGUGAGAAUACGUGGGCGGGAGAAAUCUUAGUGUUCGGGCUCUGGGGAUAGUACGCUCGCAAGGGUGAAACUUAAAGCGAAAUUGACGGAAGGACACUACCAGGAGUGGAUUGUGCUGCUUAAUUUAACUCAACGCGGGAAAACUUACCAGGGUCAAGUCAUUCGUUGAUCGAAUACUUGAGAAUGGCAGGAGUGGUGCAUGG
rnacentral:rRNA from 1 species